rnacentral:rRNA from 1 species
UUUCGAAUUAUUCACAAUGGGCGCAAGCCUGAUGGUGCGACGCCGCGUGAGGGAUGAAGGUCUUCGGAUUGUAAACCUCUGUCACUGGGGAAGAAUGGUUAAAGGUUAAUACCCUUUGAUUUGACUUAACCCGGAGAGGAAGCAGUGGCUAACUCUGUGCCAGCAGCCGCGGUAAUACAGAGACUGCAAGCGUUAUUCGGAUUCACUGGGCGUAAAGGGUGCGCAGGCGGCCAUGUGUGUUAGGCGUGAAAGCCCGGGGCUCAACCCCGGAAUUGCACCUAAAACUACGUGGCUAGAGUACUGGAGAGGGUAGCGGAAUUCACGGUGUAGCAGUGAAAUGCGUAGAUAUCGUGAGGAACACCAAUGGCGAAGGCAGCUACCUGGACAGUAACUGACGCUC